UCUAGGAUGAAACCUAAUCUGAGUGGACAUCUGUGGAUGAGAAAUGUGGAUAUGGGACUGAAACUAGUG
ensembl:snoRNA